rnacentral:misc_RNA from 1 species
AAGUCGUAACAAGGUAACCGUAGGUGAACCUGCGGUUGGAUCAUUACUGUAAAAUGAUGAGGUUUGGAGGGGGGAUUGGGUUCAACUUUUUGGGUUGGGUCCAGGCCCUUGACAACCACCUCAAUACCAACCUAUCUGUGCACACACAAACUCUGCCCGUCAUCUCUUGUGGGUGAUGGACAGAAAAACCUAAGAGUUUUCUAUGAUUUGUCUGAACAGUAUGCUUUGUAUGUAUAAUGCAAUUAAACAACUUUUGGCAACGGAUCUCUUGGCUCUC